GGAGAGGUGGCUGAGCUGGCUGAAGGCGCUCGCCUGGAAAGCGGGUAAACAGGGAACUGUUUCAGGGGUUCAAAUCCCCUCCUCUCCGCCA
rnacentral:tRNA from 1 species